CCUGGGGGCGCAAACAAAAUGUAACAAAAGACUGCGCAGCUUUAGCAGGAGCCGCGGAGGUCGGGUGGACACGGGGUGCUGGGUUAGAGUGUAGCGAAGAAGCCCAAGGCAGAGGCAGAAAGCAGCGAGGGGGCAGCGGCAGCCGGGGACGCGGCCUCCGGGAACGGGAGGGCCCCGGGCUUUCCCCUGAGCCACCGGAACACAUGGUGAGGGUCCUUCCCAGUCAGAUCGCGUGUUAGUAGGGUCCCAGCUCAACUGAGACUUCCUCUAAUGAGCGAAGGCUCACCCACAGUGGGAGGACAAAGCCCGGCAGUGGAAGCGAAUCCUCCGGGCAGCGACCGCAGAGCGCCUGUCCCUCCUCUGAUGCCGAGAGGGAGAGAGGGAGACAGCAGCUGAGCCCAGCCCCUCACCCCCAGGCCAAAUUCUCGAAGUAUCUCUGCCCUUCCUCAGGGUCCAAGUGCAGCUGUGCUGCCCUGAAGAACAGAGCAGAUGGGACAGAGGGAGUGCUGACGAAUGAACCCAAUUCCACCAGGGGAACAACAGUCAUGCUGGAUAAGAAUAAAGAAGUUCUUGUUCUGCAGUCCUGGGGAGGGUGAAGAAGUCAGAGCAACUGGCCAGUUGAAAGCAAGCACUGCUGCUUGAUGAGGCAAAACAACUCCUCAAAUUCCCUGGGAUCCAUCCGGAUGGGCAGCCAGAGGUGCUAUGCUGCAGGAACUGCUGCUGCUGAAGUCUCUGAAGCAACACACAUCUCAGGAGCCAUCUAGGUUACAUCUUUGAAAGCAGUCACAACACUUUAAAGUUGGGCAGUUCAUCACAAAAAUAGAAUUUGGAUCAUUUACAGCCUUUCCCCCUCUUUUUCCCUUUUUUUUCCCCCUUCCAGGUAGAUGAACCCAAACCCUAGGUUGUAAGGGUUGAUUAUUAACAGAUUGCACCAGGAAGCUUCGUUAAAACAUAUGGGAAUAAUCUGUGGGAUUCAUAUUAUUUUCACUUCUUAUCUUGAACAACGCUGCUUUGGUAAGAAGAUUUAAUAAACCCUAAACUCUGGACCCAGCCACUAUUCUCCAAGCUGCAACUUUCAGUUCAAACAAACUCCAUGAGACUUAAUGACAAGUGGUCUGUGGCCAAUCCCAAACAGAUUCACACCUGGAACUCUAGCAAUGCCUUCAGUAUUCGGCCCUACAAUCCAGAAUUUCAGACCAGACUGAGGCUUGUUUCGUAACACAGGAGUUUAUUCUGAAACUGCUUCCAUCUCUUGAUAUGGCAGAAGGAACCAGUAGCAUCCUCCCAGGAGCAGUGUGAGAAAAGUCAAUCACUUCCAUAGCAACCAAUGUGCCAAAUUAUGGCUCUUCUGCAAUUAGGGCUGACCACAAUGAUUUCCCAUUCCCUUCAGGUCAGUGGGCUUGACAGUGCUGGGACAACCACAAGGUUCAACAGUAAAACCAUUUGUCAGAUCACGGUUGGUUUGAUUAUUCCCUCUCCUUCCCCCCAGUUCGUCACUGUUCAAUACAACAGAGGUAGGAGCAGGAUCCUGCUGGCUAUAUUUGUUUGGGGUUUUGUAGGAUUUUUUGGCUCAGCACCUAUAUUUUCACCAUGAAAAAUCAGAAAGCAAUGCUGGUUCCUGCAUUCCCUCUUAAACGGCUUUUUCUAACACCUAGGAAGUGUUUUGUUGUGUUUAGGAGAAACAUGUGGAUAGUGUAAAGUGAAAAACACACAUUUUACAUGAUACAGAGAAGCAGCAGCAAGCAGAUGUCAAGCUCAACGAUUCUUUAAGCGAAGGAAGAGAAAAAGGAGUGCUAAGAUGAACACAAGCGCUGCUGCCAUGGUAAAUCACUCCCCUCCCUGUCUGUGGCAGCAGCACCACAGUGAUUCCUAACUGAGUCAGGGAUGGAAACAGACGCCUGCCAGCCUAAUGUGCAACAAGCAAAACAGACACUCAAGAUUUGUCUCCCAAAAUUUCUGAAGAAGGAGUUAAUCAAAUUAAAAGAUAAUGUUGUAACAGACUUAGCCUUUGGAACAGAACGACAAGGUAAUAAAUUACAUAAAAUGCAACUGUGAGCAUUAAUCUGAGGCAAAAGGCCAUUACCUGAAAGCACCAUCCAUCUCUGAUCGUUUCCAAGAGGUUUUCUGAGCACUUAGAAGUCAAAACAUGUUUUAGCUGCCAUAAAAAACAAAAAGCAGCUCAAAGAAAGAUGCCCUCCUGACCACAACUAAGAACCAAGAAGCCAGGACACCAUUCACCACACAAGCAGUGCCUCUUGGCAGGAGUGAGGCGUGACAAAGCGGGGGAAAACCCCUACAUUGCGGAAAAGGUUUGACAGUUGAACAACAAAGGUUUGAAGAUCAAUUCCUGCUAUUCUAUGUUAUGCCCCUCGAAGAGCAAUGAUGGAUGUGAGGCUGCGAUCCCCAGCCUCUCUGCCUUCAGAAGGUUGACAAGAGGGAAAACACAAAUGCCUCUUGUUGAACAGUGUCUGCAGGAUUGGAGCAGAGAUGAGGAGGGAGGAGGGAUCAGAAACCUUCCAGACCCUCCUUAUAAAGUCUCUGCUAAGUCACAGAGUCACAGAAUGGUCUGGGUUGGAGGAGACUUUAUAGCUCGUCCAGUUCCACCAUCCACCUUCCACUAGACCAGAUCGCUCCAAGCCCCAUCCAACCUGGCUCUGAACAUUUCCAGGGACCAGAAACCUGUGCCAGGGCCUCACCACCCACACAACAAGAGACAAGGAAGAACUCCUUCUCCAGCAGGGACUCUUCAAGUCAAGAAGUGCUGGAUUGAAAUCUGAAUAACCUCUGCAAACACAAAAACAUCUACAGAAACAUAAUUUGACUUGAUGAUCACUGUGGGUCCCUUUCAACUCAGCUUAUUCUGUGAUUCUGUGACAAUUCUGGUAAAAAGGGGUUUUUCAAAGUCAUGUAAAAGCUUUUUUGUCAUCAUCUUAGUUGCAACAACUAUAAAAUGUGGGGCAAUUUCUGAUUUCACAUAAGAACAUUUAAUUAAUUUUUAAGUAUCUACACUCUUCUCUAUAAAUGAAUGUAAAAAAAAAAGGGAAAUCAUACCAAGCUCAAAAGUUUACUAUGUACUUGGUAUUAGAACUUCCCUCAAAAGACACUCAGUAUUGUGAUCUUCUUUCUCCUUCCUCUGAGUUGGAACGUCAGGAGCACAUCAUCCCCCCCCCCCCAAAGAUGUCACAAGCAAAUCUUCUGUCUUCUCCCCAGCAGCAGGAGGGGCCGAGCGGUGGCACUGCAGUUGCUCAGGAAACCACCUCCCUGGAAUGUGCUGAAAUUUGCCUGAAGCCUUAAAAUAAACAUUUUGAUAUUGAGCAAAAUUUCACCUCUUGGCAUCUCAA